rfam:Tribolium castaneum strain Georgia GA2 linkage group LG3, whole genome shotgun sequence.
CGCUGAAACUGUGGAGGAACUAUUGGUGUGAUUUGUUCAUUUAAUCAUAUCACAGCCAUUAGUUACUUCACAGUUUCAGUA